GAAAGAGUUUAGAGCUGGGAAGGAUCACACAAAACCUUUAGUUGAACUCCUCAUUCGACAGAUGAAGAAACUAAGACUCACAGAGUUUGUCUGGUUUAAGGCCAUCCAUUAGGUAAAGGCUGGUCAGGCUAGAGCAGCCGCCUCGAGCUCACUGCUCUGUCUGCCACCCCUUACCUCUCAAGUCCUCAGGCGGAGGCGUGUGAUGAAAGAAGAUGCAGGUUAUCUAUCACCAGCCAGGCCAGUGUCUGUGGACCACUGCAAACUGAUUUUUUGUCGACUACCAGCAAUAACCCACUCAUCUGGCAAAUAAUUAUCACAUGUUUGCUCUCUGCCAGACCCAUUGCCCUCAAUUACUUUCCAAGUUUCUCCCAUCCUCAGAGAUUAGGUUGGAAAUCAUUUUUCUCUGCUCUGUUGUAAUCAAUUCCUGCAGUAUGUAGGACUCUAAGUGAAUUAGAGUUAAGGAUUUAAAAAAUGUUCAUAAAUAAUAAAGGAUUCACAUAUAUCAGAAAUAAGAGUCUGUUAUUCAAAAAGCCACAAAAUAUCUUAUCUAGAGAAGACACUUAAAAUAUACAUCUUAAAAAUUCAGCACUUAAGAAUGCAUUUUACAAUUGUUUCCAUUUGAGAAACAGAGUUAAAAUGGAUAAUAAUUAUAAACACAACU